rnacentral:rRNA from 1 species
GUCGAACGGAUUUGGGGGCUUGCUCCCAAGUUAGUGGCGAACGGGUGAGUAAUAUAUCGGAACAUAUCCGGAAGUGGGGGAUAACGUAGCGAAAGUUACGCUAAUACCGCAUAUGCCCUGAGGGGGAAAGGGGGGGAUCGCAAGACCUCUCGCUUUCGGAGUGGCCGAUAUCGGAUUAGCUAGUAGGUGAGGUAAAGGCUCACCUAGGCGACGAUCCGUAGCUGGUCUGAGAGGACGACCAGCCACACUGGAACUGAGACACGGUCCAGACUCCUACGGGAGGCAGCAGUGGGGAAUUUUGGACAAUGGGCGAAAGCCUGAUCCAGCCAUACCGCGUGAGUGAAGAAGGCCUUCGGGUUGUAAAGCUCUUUCAGCCGGAAAGAAAUUGCUUCUAUUAAUACUAGGAGUAGAUGACGGUACCGGAAGAAGAAGCACCGGCUAACUACGUGCCAGCAGCCGCGGUAAUACGUAGGGUGCGAGCGUUAAUCGGAAUUACUGGGCGUAAAGCGUGCGCAGGCGGUUUUUUAAGUCAGAUGUGAAAUCCCCGGGCUCAACCUGGGAACUGCAUUUGAAACUGGAAGACUAGAGUAUAGCAGAGGGGGGUAGAAUUCCACGUGUAGCAGUGAAAUGCGUAGAUAUGUGGAGGAAUACCAAUGGCGAAGGCAGCCCCCUGGGUUAAUACUGACGCUCAUGCACGAAAGCGUGGGGAGCAAACAGGAUUAGAUACCCUGGUAGUCCACGCCCUAAACGAUGUCAACUAGGUGUUGGGGGAGGAGACUUCCUUAGUACCGUAGCUAACGCGUGAAGUUGACCGCCUGGGGAGUACGGUCGCAAGAUUAAAACUCAAAGGAAUUGACGGGGACCCGCACAAGCGGUGGAUUAUGUGGAUUAAUUCGAUGCAACGCGAAAACCUUACCUACCCUUGACAUGUCAGAAAGAUCGUAGAGAUAUGAUUGU